rnacentral:tRNA from 1 species
GAUACUAUGGCCGAGUGGUUAAGGCGGGAGACUCGAAAUUAUCUAUCACUAGAUAACACUAGUAAUCUCUUGGGCUCUGCCCGCGCAGGUUCAAAUCCUGCUGGUGUCG